UUCUCAUCGCUUGUUGAGAACAUAAGGUUCCUUUUCAGUUGGAAACUCAUCUACAUACAUAUAUAUGGGGAGGUACAAGCUCCAACUCGGUUUUACAGUGAAAACUGCAGGAACUUCAAACCGGCACUAGGAAACAGACUGAGAAUCCACAGUAAGUGUUUCUCCUGCAACCCGUUCCCUUUGUGCUAGAUGCACGAACGUCUCUCCCCUUGCUUAGUUAUAAGAUUAAAGUGUGUGUCAAAGCAUUCCUUCUCAUUGCUUGUUGAGAACAUAAGGUUCCUUUUCAGUUGGAAACUCAUCUACAUACAUAUAUAUGGGGAGGUACUAGCUCCAAAUCGACUCUAUAGUGGAAACUGCUGGAACUUCAACCCGGCACUAGGAAACA